AUGAGGUUCUCCCAGGUCGUCUCCAACGCCAUCGACAUGAAGCUCAGGGAUCACCUUGAGAGGCUCAAGAAGAUCAGGGAGCUCCGCAUCCGAGUCUCGUCCAUCCUCGGCAGCAAGGAGCUGGGCCAAGGGAGCAAGCAGCGCUGCUGGUUACUUGGGGCCAGAUCGAGUAAGAUGGCGCACCAUGGCGUGUGGCGGCCUAUUUUGCUUCCAUGA
rnacentral:rRNA from 1 species